ensembl:lncRNA
CUACCCUCACCACCUGGGGUCGGCCCGUCAGGAAGUCCAGUACCCAGUUGCACAGGGCGGGGUCGAGACCCAGGGUCUCGAGCUUGAUGACGAGCUUGGAUGGUACUAUGGUGUUGAAUGCCGAGCUGUAGUCGAUGAACAUCAUUCUCACAUAGGUAUUCCUCUUGUCCAGAUGGGUUAGGGCAGUGUGCAGUGUGGUUGAGAUUGCAUCGUCUGUGGACCUAUUUGGGCGGUAAGCAAAUUGGAGUGGGUCUAGGGUGUCAGGUAGGGUGGAGGUGAUAUGGCCUUGACUAGUCUCUCAAAGCACUUCAUGAUGACGGAAGUGAGUGCUACGGGGCGGUAGUCAUUUAGCUCAGGUACCUUAGCUUUCUUGGGAACAGGAACAAUGGUGGCCCUCUUGAAGCAUGUGGGAACAGCAGACUGGUAUAGGGAUUGAUUGAAUAUGUCCGUGAACACACCGGCCAGCUGGUCUGCGCAUGCUCUGAGGGCGCGGCUGGGGAUGCCGUCUGGGCCUGCAGCCUUGCGAGGGUUAACACGUUUAAAUGUUUUACUCACCUCGGCUGCAGUGAAGGAGAGUCCGUAUGUUUUCGUUGCAGGCCGUGUCAGUGGCACUGUAUUGUCCUCAAAGCGGGCAAAAAAGUUAUUUAGUCUGCCUGGGAGCAAGACAUCCUGGUCCAUGACUGGGUUGGUUUUCUUCUUGUAGUCCGUGAUUGACUGUAGACCCUGCCACAUACCUCUUGCGUCUGAGCCGUUGAAUUGAGAUUCUACUUUGUCUCUAUACUGACGCUUAGCUUGUUUGAUAGCCUUGCGGAGGGAAUAGCUGCACUGUUUGUAUUCGGUCAUGUUACCAGUCACCUUGCCCUGAUUAAAAGCAGUGGUUCGCGCUUUCAGUUUCAUGCGAAUGCUGCCAUCAAUCCACGGUUUCUGGUUAGGGAAUGUUUUAAUCGUUGCUAUGGGAACGACAUCUUCAACGCACAAUGCUUGAACAAGGCUAUUGAACUUGACAUUGAUGUCUGUCUGUAUUCCUUUAUCCAACAUAUCAUACUGAAACAACUUCCUUCACAACGAUAAGAGAUCAAUCCAUAGGCUUUAGCCUGUUCAGGUCAUUAAACAAUAACACCAUUUACGUUACAGACUCAUUGGGCUAGAGACCUCACAAACCAGGUUAUGUCAUAUUAUCAGAAUGUCCUCAAAAAACAGGUUGUGUCAUUUUAUCAGUAUGUCCUUAGAAACCAUGUUCUGUCAUAUUAUCAGUAUGUCAUUAGAAACCAGGAUCUGUCAUAUUAGCAGUAUGUCCUUAGAAACCAGGUUCUGUCAUAUUAGCAGUAUGUCCUUAGAAACCAGGUUCUGUCAUAUUAGCAGUAUGUCCUUAGAAACCAGGUUCUGUCAUAUUAGCAGUAUGUCCUUAGAAACCAGGUUCUGUCAUAUUAUCAGUAUGUCCUUAGAAACCAGGUUCUGUCAUAUUAUCAGUAUGUCCGUAGAAACCAGGUUCUGUCAUAUUAUCAGUAUGUUAUGGUUUAGGGGGACAUGUUUAAUAAGGAACCGCCACACACAAAUCAUCUAAUGAGAGGGUCUCAACCUCAUCAUAAAGUAAGACAACAAGCCAACAGCAACCACUUUCCGUUCCAUUGAAUUCCAAAAGGCUUUCUGUGUAAAACCGCCUGUUUAAAACUGACAGUUCGACAAAGGAUACACAUUCAUUCAGUCACCAUUAAUAUGGGCUGUUUGGUUAACUGUCUGAUAAAGUCUGGAAAGACACCUGUAUGACUCCAUGGUAACUUUUCACUCACACAGACCGUUCAGCCUUCAGUCUACUAACAUAUACUGUACUUUCACAGUCUAUCUGCUCUGUGAUCAGGGGCCGUAUCCACAAAGUGUGGAUCGAAAGUGCUAAGAAUAGAGACAUUUUACGCCUACUCUUUUGGGUGAAAGUAAAAAUAAGCCUCUUUAGUCAGUAGAGUUCCACCUAGUUGAAAGCUAUUUAGGAGACCUCAUGAGCUGUCCUACUAGGGUAACAGCGGGUGUCCUUAUAAUAGAAAAAGGCAGCGAGUCAGUUCCUGCACCAUAGACAGGCAACUGUUUUGGAGUUGAAAUAAUGUUUUGAUAUUUUUAUUUGAUCAACCCAUAAUUAAUCUAGACCUACAUGCAACUGUAUCACUUUUAACAAUGAUUUUGACAAUGAUUUCACAAGGCAUAUUUCACAUGAUACACCUAAAUAUUUAGGCACCACUAGACUAAUAAAUAAUCACAUAUUUAGGUUUAGAUUAUUUCAUUAACCUACAUCAUGUUAUUUCAAGUUAACCAUUUGGAGCGCAAUAUCACGCUGUGAAGACAUGCCUAUAAGUUUGGCAAUUGAAAGCAUCUACGGCCCAUGUCAAAUGUAUUUAUAAAGCCCUUACAUCAGGUGAUAUCUCAAAGUGUUGUACAGAAACCCAGCCUUAAACCCCAAACAGCAAGCAAUGCAGGUGUAGAAGCACGGUGGCUAGGAAAAACUCCCUAGAAAGGCCAAAACCUAGGAAGAAACCUAGAGAGGAACCAGGCUAUGAGGGGUGGUCAGUCCUCUUCUGGCUGUGCCGGGUGGAGAUUAUAACAGAACAUGGCCAAGAUGUUCAAAUGUUCAUAAAUGACCAGCAGGGUCGAAUAAUAAUAACCACAGUGGUUGUCGAGGGUGCAACAGGUCAGCACCUCAGGAGUAAAUGUCAGUUGACUUUUCAUAGCCGAUCAUUCAGAGAUCUCUACCGCUCCUGCUGUCUCUAGAGAGUUGAAAACAGCAGGUCUGGGACAGGUAGCACAUCCGGUGUACAGGUCAGGGAUCCAUAGCCGCAGGCAGAACAGUUGAUACUGGAGCAGCAGCACGACCAGGUGGACUGGGGACAGCAAGGAGUCAUCAGGCCAGGUAGUCCUGAGGCAUGGUCCUAGGGCUCAGGUCCUCCGAGAGACAGAAAGAAAGAAGGAAAUAAAGAGAGAAAGAGAGAAUUAGAGAGAGCAUACUUAAAUUCACACAGGAUACCAGAUAAGACUUUGAUUUUGAUUGUUGACUUUAAUUGUUAACUUUGAUUGUGUUCGGUAAAAAUUAUAGACCUUUCAAACGUUUUAUGCAACAUUAUCGGCAAGUGACAAUUCCUACGGUGCCAAAGCGAUUUAAAAUUGUUGAACGGGAGUGAUGAGUGUGUUGAUAUAUCGGUAAUACACAUUAUUCAAAAUGUCAUAAUUGGAUUUAAAGGUUGUGCAUGCCAACAUAUUAAGCAAUAAUUAAGAGUAGACAAAGUGAUCAUGUAAGGCAACAAUUACUGUAUAUCAAAUGUUUUAACAUUGCAAAAUUUGAUGUACAGUCCCAUUCACAGUGGCUGUCUGAUGCUAUUGAGUUCACAGCUGGCGAUGCCUCAUUCGCGAUUGGUUAUUCCCCAUUAUUUGUAACUUGGUCAAGGAGCGUCAUCACAAGCUUUCCUUUGUGGUACCUCAAACUGUCAUGAUUACCAGCUGAGACAAAUUUUAGGGAGUUGAUUUACCUCCUGGCUCAGAGUUUGUCUAAAGUAGUGUCUUAACAUGCUCUUAAAUCCUACACUAAGCUGGGAGUUUCUGUUGUUGUUUUAAAACAGGUUUUAACAGGAUUCGUAGGGCUUGUUCUGAGACACUUCUGGCCCCUCCUAGCCCCCUCCUGGUCCCCUAAAAGCCCGCUCUUAGCCCCCGC